rnacentral:ncRNA from 1 species
UGGGGAGUACGGCCGCAAGGUUAAAACUCAAAUGAAUUGACGGGGGCCCGCACAAGCGGUGGAGCAUGUGGUUUAAUUCGAUGCAACGCGAAGAACCUUACCUACUCUUGACAUCCAGAGAACUUUCCAGAGAUGGAUUGGUGCCUUCGGGAACUCUGAGACAGGUGCUGCAUGGCUGUCGUCAGCUCGUGUUGUGAAAUGUUGGGUUAAGUCCCGCAACGAGCGCAACCCUUAUCCUUUGUUGCCAGCGGUUCGGCCGGGAACUCAAAGGAGACUGCCAGUGAUAAACUGGAGGAAGGUGGGGAUGACGUCAAGUCAUCAUGGCCCUUACGAGUAGGGCUACACACGUGCUACAAUGGCGUAUACAAAGAGAAGCGACCUCGCGAGAGCAAGCGGACCUCAUAAAGUGCGUCGUAGUCCGGAUUGGAGUCUGCAACUCGACUCCAUGAAGUCGGAAUCGCUAGUAAUCGUAGAUCAGAAUGCUACGGUGAAUACGUUCCCGGGCCUUGUACACACCGCCCGUCACACCAUGGGAGUGGGUUGCAAAAGAAGUAGGUAGCUUAACCUUCGGGAGGGCGCUUACCACUUUGUGAUUCAUGACUGGGGUGAAGUCGUAACAAGGUAACCGUAGGGGAACCUGCGGUUG